AUAAAUAAGUGAUUUCAUUCCGUUUAAGGCAUCAACUCAAGGGAGGUGAAAAGCUCAAUUGGAGAGAGAAUGGCUAAAACAUGGUGCGAAAAAACACUGAAAGAGGGAAAAGAGAAAAAUGACGAGGUGUUGAUCAGAAACGGCUAAGAAAGAAAAUGAAUCAGUGUUUGUGAGGCCAAUUUUGGUGCCGGUGUUUGCAUCGGUCUUAUCACUGGUAUUGGUCUGAUGAAGCGGAGGGCUAAAACCUGAAGGAACUCCGGCGCCGGUCUUAUCCCUGGUGUUAUCGCCCAUCUUUAUCGGGUCUUGCCGCACGCAUUUGUUUUAAAAUUGAAAGAUACUUAAUCCAAGGGGGAUUCACUUGUAACCUUUUAAAAACUAUAAAUAUGGGCUGUGUAGGACAUUUUUAGGGGUGGAAAACAUUAGUCUAGGUUAGUUUUAACAUCUUUUCAUAGAUUAUUCUGGAGAGAUCAAGGUCAAAUGAAAGCGAAUCAAUGGAGCGUGCAAGGAGAAGAUUGGAGCAAGCAAUUGAGAAGUUUUCUUACUUUGUUUCUUAUCUUUGUAGCAACUCUUUGAAUUCAUAGUUUUAAUUUCCAAAUCAUGUUGAACUAAAUUGUUUCUAGGGUUAGGGUUUUUGUGAAGGAAUUUGAUUAAUUCUUCUAGUUUAA